GGACAGAUCAAAGGCCUUUGCAACGUCACAUCAAAGGCCUUUGCAACGUCACAACAAAGGUGCUUCGAAGGAGCUCCCAAAUAGCAUAAAUAGAGCCUUGGCGACACUCUACACCAGUGCACUCCAAAGUUGGUUUGCACAACUGAAGAAUUGCGGGCUGAAAAAGAAGCCACAAAAAAGGAGAAAAAAUGCGUCAGGUUUGCAACGCUCCCAUCACUCCACAACGGCUGGGAGCACACAAUCCGACCAACGACAGAGAGAGUGCGGGACGUACAAAGGGUAAGUCGGGAGUGGGGUGAGGCUGGCAGUAGUGAUCGGGUUGGUUUCUUCCGUUGUCAGCAACGGAGCAGCUCAGAACAAACAGCACCUAAAACGGAAUGCCUGUUUGUUAAUAAAUCAAAUAGGGUUGUGUCUGUAGCUAAAGACUCACCAGCUAAGAAUUUAAUCCCACCCCUGCCUCCUCUUCCUAUUAAACCGCAGAAAACACAGCGUGCCCCUAUUAUUAAAAAGCAACACGAGGUUGUUGCACCUUAUGCACCACGCAUGUUAGAGACGUGGGACAUAAACACAAAUAAAAAUGUACUUCCACCCCUACCUCCUCUUCCUAUUAAAACGCAGAAAACACAGCGUGCCCCUAUUAUUAAAAAGCAACA
ensembl:lncRNA